CUCUAUUUGGGUUCUUUAUGAUCAAACCACUAUCCCAGCUCUUGCUCUGCAAUGUGCUUGGACCAGUUGACUAACAUUGAGUAUGACUGAUGGCGGCUUUCAACAACAAUAGGAGAAUUACUCACCCUAAUCCCUGGAAACUUGCAACGCUCUAUGAAAGAGCCACCUUGCUGUUUAUCAAAGGAGCCUGUAAAGUUUGACCCGAGUGUUUUUAUAUAUUGACAAAGGCAACGAAAACUGGUGAUAACACGGAAGAUCCUGGUUUCUUCUCAAGGAUGUGGGCAAGGACACAGGAACCUCAUUCUCUCUUCCCACAGUUAAUAGGAAACCAACCAUUGGGAUGCCACGCUCCUGUUUCAAAUCCACACUGUGUUCACCUCUUGUGAUGUCUGAAGAUCUCAUACAAUGCCAUCUGCAACAUGUUUCAUGGGCAGUUGGCAUAAUGGAGACUCCUGCUUUCCCUCUCAGGAAUCAGGUUAUGGUAGAAAUUUUUAUCCUGAGGGCCACAUUUCUUCCUGAUCAGCCUUUCAGGGGCCACUUUGCAUUGACUUCCCAGAGAACAAGUUUGGUUCCAUUGUUCAGUGUCUGAAAUGAAGGACCGUGCAUAUUAUUCCUCAGAUUGUACAACAGCUGCCUGCAUCUUUUGGACUCUCUUUGGGAACGUGGCUAUGGGGGCAUCACGAUGAGCUUCUGCACUUCAGAACUUACCGCUCCAUCACUGUAUUUAAAACCCCAGUUCAAGAAGCUUGAUAGCACAUGUGGUUACAUUUUCUAAGAAGAUGUUGCGGAGGUGUUUCAACAGAAGAGAGAGAGAAUGGCUCCUUGCACAUUCUUUAUUAGGAAGUGGUAAGUAUAUUUGUCUCAGUGCAAACCAAUACCUAUUUCUGGAAACAUUGGUUUAAUACUUUUUCCUCUAGCAGAGAGGAUGUUUCAUUCUAUAGACGGUUCUCAGACGCACUGACACUGUUUUCUUAAAAAGUCAGAAAGUUGGGUGUGUGUCCCCCUCCCCUGGAACAACUUUUGUCUUUUCUCUGGAGACAGAAACGAGCAAACGACAAGACUUUUAACUUUGCGACCCAGCGAAAAAUCAAUUUGGGGCACAUUUCCCUACGGCUCAUCAAAUAUGGUGCAGUAGGGCCUCUGAGAACUUUGAGAGACUUUUGCCAAUGCCCAUUUAAACAACGGAUUCCUUUCUAACAUUUCUGAAGGGGUCCAUGCACCAAAUUUACAAAUGCUAGGGUGUCCAGAGAAAGGUGGUUUGUGGUGGUCUUACAGGUAUAGGACACAUUUGUUAACCACUCCAACCAAACCUUUGUGACAGGUCAAAGCAUGCAUUUAAAAAUGAUGUUGCCAACUUUUUUAUUAUUAUUUACUUACUCUGCUCCUGCGCCCUCAUAAACUACCAGAUCACAUAGAAACAAAACAAGCCUCUUUAACUCAUUCCACAGCUUCUUAACAAAUAGUUGUUUAAUUCAUUUGGUCAAUGUGAAAUUCAUUAACAGUUGAAUUAACACCCCUUCCCAAACUCUGAGGUUUUCUGGGUCUCUGUUGGUGGGUCCCCUCCCCUCCCCCCAGUUCAGCUGCAUGGCACCUGAAGCUGUACAUUCAGUAUAGCGGGCCCAAGCCUGUGGAACUCCCACCCACCUGAGAUUAGACAGGCACCCUCCUUGCUGAACCUCUGGUGCAUGACAAAGACUUUAUUUCAACAGGCAUGUUAAGGUAGUUCAGUUUUGUUGGCAUGAUGAAUUUUAAUUGUUCAUAUUCUCUGUAUUAAACAUUUAUAAAAAGCUUUUUUGGGUGGGAGAGAGGAGUCCUUUAAAUUGGACUGAAGAGGACACACACGGGAAGGGAACAGUCAGAGAGAGAAGGGGGGUCCUGGCAUGAAAUGCAGGAUAGAAAGGGUCUCCCAGCGAGAAGAUGUAGGGUCCCAGGUGGGAGAUGGGAGGGUCUCUGUGUGUGGUUAAAUGAUAGGAUAUAUAUGAUAAAAAUAUGAUAAAGGGCCUUAAAUUUUUUUCUCCUUUUUUCUCUCUUUCUCUUUCUCCUCUUGCUUUUUCUAUUCUUGUUCUGUAGACUAGUCUGAUUCUUACUGGAUUUUAUGUCAAAAAUUCUCAGUCAACAUCUUUCUUAUAAAAAACGAUUUUAGACACACUGCUUAGAAAUUCUGAAUAUUAAGGUUUAUACAAAUACAGUGUGGUACCUCGGUUUUUGAACGCAACCCGUUCCGGAAGACCGUUUGAGUUCUGAAACGUUCGAAAACCGAAAACUCAAUAUGGAAGCCUCAGUACGGAAAACUCAAUGCAGAAGCCGCAUGGCAUGUUCGACUUCCGAGGCGUGUUCGAAAACCAAAGCAUUUACUUCCGGGUUUACGGUGUUCGAAAACCGAAAUGUUCGUCAACGGAUACCACUGUAUCUGAAAUAAUAAAUCUGAGGCCCUGCUUCAGUUGACCA